CAGUCGCCGCGGUAAUACGUAGGGUGCGAGCGUUAAUCGGAAUUACUGGGCGUAAAGCGUGCGCAGGCGGUUCUGUAAGACAGGCGUGAAAUCCCCGGGCUCAACCUGGGAAUGGCGCUUGUGACUGCAAAGCUAGAGUGCGGCAGAGGGGGAUGGAAUUCCGCGUGUAGCAGUGAAAUGCGUAGAUAUGCGGAGGAACACCGAUGGCGAAGGCAAUCCCCUGGGCCUGCACUGACGCUCAUGCACGAAAGCGUGGGGAGCAAACAGGAUUAGAUACCCGCGUAGUCCCUGUCUCUUAUAC
rnacentral:rRNA from 1 species